GUGCUCGCUUAGGCAGCACAUAUACUAAAAUUGAAUGAUAUAGAGAAGAUUAGCAUCACCCCUGCGCAAGGAUGACACACAAGUUUGUGAAGUGUUCCAUAUUUAG